rnacentral:rRNA from 1 species
UGAGCAAUCUGCCCUUCACAUCGGAAUAACCAUUGGAAACGAUGGCUAAUACCGAAUAUGACUUCGGAUCGCAUGAUCUGAAGUGGAAAGCUCCGGCGGUGAAGGAUGAGCUCGCGGCCUAUCAGCUUGUUGGUGGGGUGAUGGCCUACCAAGGCAACGGACGGGUAGCCGGCCUGAGAGGGUGACCGGCCACACGUGGGACUGAGACACGGCCCAGACUCCGUACGGGG